AUUGAACGCUGGCGGCAGGCCUAACACAUGCAAGUCGAACGAGUGGCGGACGGGUGAGUAAUGUCUGGGAAACUGCCUGAUGGAGGGGGAUAACUACUGGAAACGGUAGCUAAUACCGCAUACCAUCGGAUGUGCCCAGAUGGGAUUAGCUAGUAGGUGGGGUAAAGGCUCACCUAGGCGACGAUCCCUAGCUGGUCUGAGAGGAUGACCAGCCACACUGGAACUGAGACACGGUCCAGACUCCUACGGGAGGCAGCAGUGGGGAAUCUUGGACAAUGGACGAAAGUCUGAUGGAGCCACGCCGCGUGUGUGAAGAAGGUUUUCGGAUUGUAAAACACUGUUAGUAGAGAGGCGGUAUCUGAACAAGAAGCAACGGCUAACUACGUGCCAGCAGCCGCGGUAAUAC
rnacentral:rRNA from 1 species